CAAAGAAUGCUUGAAUAUUUGGCGGGUCAGUUUCAACUCCGAUCCACUAGGGGGCGCGAAGAGACUGCUAGCGCGGGGUCCAUCCGGGGAUUCGCCGCUCUAGGCCCUAGCUCGUCUCUCAACUGCAGUUCCGCCAGCGCCCGACAGAUGGAGGGUGGGUCCUGUCUCCGAGUCGCCGGGAACCGUCCAGCAUCUUCUCACGUCGUCCAGUUUGACCUGCAGCCGACAUUCCUGGCGCCCCGGAGGAAGCAGCACGGUGCACAGGGGUCCCUGAGAGGUGUCCCCAUCCUGUCAAGAGACAGCUGGCCCAGAGGUGUCCUCCCUUUGUCUGUCCCUUCUGGGCCAUGUGGAAGGCUUUUUAGCAGGACUAGAAGCAGAUACUGGGUUCUCAAGCUCAACUCGGCUGACUGCUCUGAGCCUCUGCCACUGGCCUCCUUUUUCAACGAGUCCACUGCGUGCAGAGGCGUCAUGGAAGCUGUCAUGUCAGGAGCAUUCUAGACCGUGCUGUCCUUGAGAUGUUGGCUUGAAGAAAGGCAAGGUAACAUCGGAGAGCAAACCCUUGUCGUGACCUCCUGCCCUGUUGACCUCCCCAUCAUGCUGGGGGUGCUGCCUUGGAGGACACCUCGGGGAUGGGAACACUGGCCUCUCAGGAUGGUGACCCGGGUUCCAGCUUCCCUGGAGGAGCCUCCUCAUGGUUGUUCUGGGUCUGAUCACAGCCACUUGCGUAGCAGACUGAAGAGGGGUGUUGCUGCAUGACCACCGCCAGACCUUCUUCUCCUGUUGCCUCAGCACAGUAUGGAAGGGCUUGGCCCCAUGUGACCAGGUCAGGGGCCUGGGUAAGGCCUGAGACCUUGGGACCUUGGGAUUCACAGCUGGAGACCUUCAGCUGGCUCUGCCCCUGCCCCCUAGCAGGUGCCACAGGGCACAGCAGACCCAGAAGACUGGUUUCCUUCCAUCUGGACCAGGUCCUCCAGUGGCCUCCAUGUCCCCCUCUCUGCUCCUGGUGUAACUUUUAGAGCCAGGAGUUCCUGUUGGAGGCGUCUCUGCUGGGCAUCUUGUCCUCUCACCCACUUCAAUAAAUCUUGAAACAGCCCUGCCGCUUGUUUCUUUUGUUUCCUUUAAUCCCUGCCUCUGUGUGCACAGCUGGGUGGAGAGACCAUGGGUCACAGGGGCAGGUCUUCCAGUUUUCACUCACUGAGACUUUCUACUUCACACACUCCUGAGGCCUGACCUGAGGAUGGGAUGUAGAAUUGCAAAAUGCCAUGGGUUUAACCCGUCCCAAGUGCUCUGGGGGCUCAGGUUUCGGAGAGAAGGGAGCUGUUAGAAUUGUUGGCAGAGGAACGUUUGCACCAGGGCUUUGGAAGAGAGUAUGAGGGUGGGCUGGACAUAGAGAGAGUCAGGCACUGAAGUCCUCCCGGAGGGCAGGAGAGCCCUGGGGUGGAAGUACAUGUGGUGAAUUUAGGG
ensembl:lncRNA